rnacentral:lncRNA from 1 species
CUGAGAGUCUGACGAGGCGGGAGCUUAAGCGUGUUUAGAACAAAAAAUAGCGCUUCUGGCGGGCAACAAGAGCGUCUUAACCAAUUCAGAAUUCAGUUCGGAAUUUGGAAGGGCGGCCCGCUCUCGGGGCGAUGCCGAGAUUGUGCUGUUUUUAUGAAGUUUGGAAGGGGCAGCCAGGGAGGCAGCGCUGCAAUCUUUCGGAGAUAAAGGGGCUAAGAGAGGGGAAGCGUGCUGGGGGGGGGGGUCGGAAAUUUGAGAGGCUCUUCGCCCUCGUUAGGGAGACUUUGUCCCCCUGCCAAGUGAACGUGGUAGGUUUAUUUCUGUAUUUAUGUGGUUUGAAAAACGCGAUUAUGUAGUGCAACUUUGCGCGGUUAGGACACAUCGCAAGGGGUGGGGAGAAUCCCUCUAGAAAUCUCAGGACGACAACUACACCCUAUCUGGUUUGGCUGCAAAGAUUAUUCGGAGUCCGCCAAUUGCAUAAUUUUUCACCCCUACUGAUGCGGGUUCAGAGCACCCGUGAAGAAACCCUGGAACUAGAAAGACGGCCGGCCGGCCACCGCCCACCCAACGCUCAGAUGUUUUUCCCAACGAAGGAAGNCUUCGCUAGAGAGACCUGGAUCUUUUCAGCAGCGCCGAGAAUUUGGUGGUCUCUUGGUCGAGUCCGUGGAAUGUUGCAAUCGGCAAAUUAACGUGAUAAAGACGAAAUCUCCUUAGAAAUGCUCCUGCCCCCAAGAAAGAGACAACUGGCAUUUUUUUUCGCUCUCUUCUACCGAAAAUUCAUUUCUCUGUCGCCCCAGGACGUUGCUUUAGUAUCUUACAGGAAAUGCAAAGAAGAAAAGUCAGAAAUAUAUGAAGAAAGGCACAUUUAUCCUGGACAAAGGAAAAACAGAACUAAACGAAGAAAGAAACAGAAGAAAACAGUAUGUUCUACUGUGUUCUAUGAGACUUGUUUCAGAUGACACUUGAAGAAUUCUACCUUUAGGCAUGUUCGAUCCCGCUUAGAAAACAGGGAAUUCUGACCCCCUCGCCAGACCGGUUGAUUUGAAGGGUAAAGUUAAGUGUAGACCCAAACAUUCUCUUCUAAUGUGUGCCAGGGGAUACCUGCGAAUACAGCUUGAAACUUCUCUUAUAAAUGGACAUAUUUACCUAUGCUUGCAUGGGUGUAUUAUACAUGCUCUCUGCUUAGGAGAAAGCAAAACUGUGG